rnacentral:rRNA from 1 species
UCUUCGGCAAUGGGCGCAAGCCUGACCGAGCGACGCCGCGUGCGGGAUGAAGGCCUUCGGGUUGUAAACCGCUGUCGUAGAGGAGGAAAUGCAGGGGGGUUCUCCCUUCUGUUUGACCUAUUCUAGGAGGAAGUACGGGCUAAGUUCGUGCCAGCAGCCGCGGUAAGACGAACCGUACAAACGUUACUCGGAAUUACUGGGCUUAAAGGGUGCGUAGGCUGCGCGGAAAGUUGGGUGUGAAAGCCCUCGGCUCAACCGAGGAAUUGCACUCAAAACUACCGUGCUUGGGGGAGACAGAGGUAAGCGGAACUCAAGGUGGAGCGGUGAAAUGCGUUGAUAUCUUGAGGAACACCGGUGGCGAAGGCGGCUUACUGGGUCUUUUCUGACGCUGAGGCACGAAAGCUAAGGUAGCAAACGGGAUUAGAUACCCCGGUAGUCUUAGCUGUAAACGAUGAGCACUUGAUUGGAGGGUCCUCCAUAGCCUUCCAGUCGUAGCGAAAGUGUUAAGUGCUCCGCCUGGGGA